rnacentral:piRNA from 1 species
UAGAUCCAUGCUCAGGGCUGGGCGA